rnacentral:lncRNA from 1 species
AUGCUCUCACCCCCACCCUUUCUCAUCUCUCCAUCCCUUGUUCAGCCCCCUCUUCUCUAUUAUUCUCUUUCCCACAUUCAUGUACUUUUGUUUUAUUUGUGUCUCUCUGGGUUGAUGAUUGUCAUCUGUGUGGCCUUGGGAUUGAAACUACACUUUGGAAGAGUGGGCACACCGGCGAAGAAACCACCGAAGACUGUAUUUCCAUCCCAGGUUGUUUCCAUGUUCUGGAUGAAGAUGAAUCAGUCUGCUGUAAUUUGGACAGCCCAUCUGGACCUUGCAGAAGACUAG